UCCAGGGUAGCCUAGUGGCCAUGGCAUCUUCCCGGUAAGCGGAACACCGUAGGUUCGUUUCCCAUCCCUGGAC